AAAAAUGAAGUGGCAAAUAUAGUUAUAAAGAUACUGAUUCCUUUGAAUUGCCAUUCUGUCUGAUUAGAUCAACUUGGCCUACUGGUAAUGAAGAAGUUGGCAGUGCAACCCACUAAUUCAUAAAAGACUUCUCUUGAGGUUAAAGAAUUUGAAUCUACAUCCUGUAUGCAGAUGCAUCUGAGGGGGUCUGACUUCAGCAAGGACCCUGUGAAGCUGAUUUAUGAACUUUGCUGUUCUCUCUGACAAGAAAAGUGAGAUGGCUACAGACGUUGCUGGGCUGAAAGUUCCUGGUGCAUUCCUUGCCAGAGAAAGGGAGCAGAGGGAGUUCUUACUCAACAUGUUGUUUGAUCUGGCACCCAGGAAGAGGAGACAGCAUCAGAAAUGGUACAACGCUUGCCUUUUAACGCUUCAGUACGAACUGCGUUUUGGGGCUGACAAAUAUCACCCACAGAACAGACACCUGCUCAGGGCUAACAGCAGUGCUGAGACUUCUUCACAGUUCCUGAAGUCAAACUUACUUAACUCUGAGUCCAUCUUUAUAGAAAACACCAUUCACAAGGAAUACAAGCUGCCGAAGGGGU
rnacentral:lncRNA from 1 species